GGAUGUGAGGGCGACUGGGCUGCAACAUGUGACCCCACCGAUCCCCAGGGCGGAUUCAGCUGGUCUGGCUGCCUAGGCGGGUGGUCCCUUCCUCCCUCAAUGCUCCACGUGCGUCCCUCCUGAUGCUGCGUGCUGUCAGAGGACCACUCAACAGAGGACGGUUCCUCCGUCAAGGGCAUACUAGUAGCUGCGCUCCCUGGCCACAACCUGCCAACAAGCUCUCAAGACUAUUCUGCAUCAACCCUGGAAAUCACUCAGACCCUAACUUAAAAUUUAAAAUUCACAGGCUGACUUGGAAUAAACAACUGAUCUUU
rnacentral:snRNA from 1 species